rnacentral:rRNA from 1 species
UGGGGAAUAUUGCACAAUGGGCGAAAGCCUGAUGCAGCAACGCCGCGUGAGCGAUGAAGGCCUUCGGGUCGUAAAGCUCUGUCCUCAAGGAAGAUAAUGACGGUACUUGAGGAGGAAGCCCCGGCUAACUACGUGCCAGCAGCCGCGGUAAUACGUAGGGGGCUAGCGUUAUCCGGAAUUACUGGGCGUAAAGGGUGCGUAGGUGGUUUCUUAAGUCAGAGGUGAAAGGCUACGGCUCAACCGUAGUAAGCCUUUGAAACUGAGAGACUUGAGUGCAGGAGAGGAGAGUAGAAUUCCUAGUGUAGCGGUGAAAUGCGUAGAUAUUAGGAGGAAUACCAGUUGCGAAGGCGGCUCUCUGGACUGUAACUGACACUGAGGCACGAAAGCGUGGGGAGCAAACAGGAUUAGAUACCCGUGUAGUCC